rfam:Toxocara canis scaffold139, whole genome shotgun sequence.
GCGGCAGUAGCUCAGUGGUAGAGCCCCUGCUUCGCAUGCGGGAAGCCCGGGGUUCGAUUCCCGGCUGCUCCC